rnacentral:tRNA from 1 species
GGCGGGUAGCUCAGCUGGGAGAGCAUCAGGCUGGCAGUCUGAGGGUCGUGGGUUCGAUCCCCAUCCCGUCCACCA